UAGGCGUACGUUUGUUAAUCGUUACAAAAAAAAAAUAAAUAAAAAUCUAUAUUUAAAAAGAAAAAAAAAAUAGCAAUUUAUUUUAAAAUUAAAAAAAAAUCUCGUAAUAUUUUUUUCUCUGUGUAUUUUUUAAUAUAAAAUUUGUGUGCAAUAAUUUUCAAUACGAAAAAUAUUUUAAAUAAAAGAAAAAAUUUAUUUAUGUUUGUAACAUAUAGGUUUAUAUGGAGUGUAUAUAUAUAUAUGAUAUUAUUAUGUAUGUAUAUAAUUUAUAAGUGAAUUUAAAUUUAUUGUUAUUUUUAAUGAAAAUUUGAUAAUAGCGCAUUCUUGUCUUUAUUGUUUUGUUCUUAUACACUCCGAUUAUCUUAUAAAGAAGUUAUAAUAACAUACACAGAAAAAAAAUAAAAAUUAUUUCAUAACUACAAAAGCUUAAAGAAGAAGUAAAAUAUUAAAAAUAAUAACAAUAAUAAUAAAAGUAAUAAAGGAAAAAAAUAGAAAACAUCAAGAUCAACUCUUAAAUACCAAUAACAACAACAAAUGUACCAAACUUGUACUAUUAGCCAAAGGAUAAAUUUUUAAAGCUCAAAAUACAAAAUUAUGUAAG